GAUGAACGCUAGCGGCAGGCCUAACACAUGCAAGUCGAGGGGUAGGGGUUGCUUGCAACCUUGAGACCGGCGCACGGGUGCGUAACGCGUAUGCAACCUACCUUGUACAGGGGGAUAGCC
rnacentral:rRNA from 1 species